UGAACACAUUGGAAUUCCAAACGGCAGUUAAAAGUAAUGCAUUGUGGGAUGGUAAAGGGAAACGGUGAAUUAUGGGAUACCAUACUACAAUUGAAUUGUGGGAUAUAUUUACAAAAUCUUCAAGAUGGAGAAAACAGAGGGAGUUUUAUUGUCACAAAUUACAGAUCUUAUAAAUAUUGAAAUGAGCUUAAUGCAAUGUAGAGUCAUGAUUCACCAAUAUAGAAGAAGAAGGAAACUAAGGAGAAUUAGAAUUCUAAAGCUUCAAUCUUUAUUAAUGCAGUUAUUACUGUUAUGCAAAGUUUUAAGGCACGCGAUCGCUUAUAUUG
rnacentral:lncRNA from 1 species